rnacentral:rRNA from 1 species
UACAGAGGGUGCAAGCGUUAAUCGGAUUUACUGGGCGUAAAGCGUGCGUAGGCGGUUCAUUAAGUCGGUUGUGAAAUCCCUGGGCUUAACCUGGGAACUGCAGUCGAUACUGGUGGACUAGAGUACGGUAGAGGGUGGCGGAACUCCGGGUGUAGCGGUGAAAUGCGUAGAUAUCCGGAAGAACACCGAUGGCGAAGGCAACCACCUGGGCCAACACUGACGCUCAUGCACGAAAGCGUGGGGAGCAAACAGG